GUGGGGAAUUUUUCGCAAUGGGGGAAACCCUGACGAAGCAACGCCGCGUGGAGGAUGAAGGCCUUCGGGUCGUAAACUCCUGUCGACCGGGAAGAAUGCACCUGACCUAACACGUCGGCGUGUUGACUGUACCGGUGGAGGAAGCCACGGCUAACUCUGUGCCAGCAGCCGCGGUAAUACAGAGGUGGCAAGCGUUGUUCGGAAUUACUGGGCGUAAAGGGCGCGUAGGCGGCCCGUCAAGUCCCGUGUGAAAGCCCCCGGCUCAACCGGGGAACUGCACGGGAAACUAGCAGGCUUGAGUUCGGGAGAGGGAAGCGGAAUUUCGGGUGUAGCGGUGAAAUGCGCAGAUAUCCGAAGGAACACCGGUGGCGAAGGCGGCUUCCUGGACCGACACUGACGCUGAGGCGCGAAAGCUAGGGGAGCAAACGGGAUUAGAUACCCGGGUAGUCC
rnacentral:rRNA from 1 species